rnacentral:rRNA from 1 species
AACGAACGCUGGCGGCGUGCCUAACACAUGCAAGUCGAGCGCGAAAAGGGCAACCUGAGUAGAGCGGCGCACGGGUGCGUAACACGUGGGUAAUCUACCUUAGAGUCGAGGAUAACCUUCCGAAAGGUUGGCUAAUACUCGGUAAGCUUACGGUGUCUUCGGACGCUGUGGGAAAAGUAGGCCUCUGUUUACAAGCUUACGCUCUGAGAUGAGCCCGCGGCCCAUCAGCUAGUUGGCGGUGUAACGGACCACCAAGGCAACGACGGGUAGCUGGUCUGAGAGGACGAUCAGCCACACUGGAACUGAGACACGGUCCAGACUCCUACGGGAGGCAGCAGUGGGGAAUUUUCCACAAUGGGCGAAAGCCUGAUGGAGCAACGCCGCGUGUGUGAUGAAGGUUUUCGGAUCGUAAAGCACUUUCGACUGGGACGAAAAACCUUUGGCUAACAUCCAGGGGCCUGACGGUACCAGGAGAAGAAGCACCGGCUAACUCUGUGCCAGCCGCCGCUGUAAAAC